rnacentral:misc_RNA from 1 species
AACAAGGUUUCCGUAGGUGAACCUGCGGAAGGAUCAUUGUCGUAACCUGCGAAAGCAAAGCAACUCGCGAACACGUAGUUAACACUCGGGGAUCCAAGCGCGUCCCUCCCGGGGGUCGCCCUUUCUUCCCAACGUCGGGGCUGCYCGUUGCGAGUUAACGACCUCCGGGCCGUCCCGACGCAACAAAAAACCGGCGUGAAAUGCGCCAAGGAACGCGAAAGAGAGUGCGCUCUUCCGGCGUCAGCUCGCGCUGUGCCCGGACGGGCGUCGUCUUCUUGAUGAGUUUAUAAUGACUCUCGGCAACGGAUAUCUCGGCUCUUACAUCGAUGAAGAACGUAGCAAAAUGCGAUACUUGGUGUGAAUUGCAGAAUCCCGUGAACCAUCGAGUCUUUGAACGCAAGUUGCGCCCGAAUCCAUCUGGUCGAGGGCACGUCUGCCUGGGUGUCACGUACACGCGUCUCCCGCAAACCUUCCCCUUUUGUGGACGAAGGGUCUCGCGGGAGCAGAUAUUGGUAUCCCGUGCUCGUUCCGCGCGGCUUGCCUAAAAUCGGAGAGCCGGCGACGAAACGUCACGCUUAGUGGUGGUUAACCAGGCCUAACGGCCGACCAGUUCGUGGCGUGGGCGUUUGUCGCACGGAAGUCUCAGACGACACCUUGGACGUCCCCUAACGGGCGUGCUACUGUCGCGACCCCAGGUCA